AACGGCCCAUGUGCAAGCUGUUGCUUUCCUGUGACUGUUCCUUCUCUCCCUCCAGAGGGAUGCGAUCAAGCUCAUUAACUUUCAGAACUCUCCGAUGUGGAGGAAUCUGACUUAUGCUCACAGUUUGUAAAGAAGCAAUGCAGAGUUCCAGCUGAUAGAAACUGGUUGCCUUCCCAACAACUCACCCCACCCUCAUUCUCCUGCUACGUAGCUGUGCACCUUGCUCUGUGCAUGGAAUGACCCUGCACCU
rnacentral:lncRNA from 1 species